GGGCCCGCACAAGCGGUGGAGUAUGUGGUUUAAUUCGAUGCAACGCGAAGAACCUUACCAGGGUUUGACAUCCUGCGAAUCUCUUGGAAACAGGAGAGUGCCUUCGGGAAUUGUGAUACAGGUGCUGCAUGGCUGUCGUCAGCUCGUGUCGUGAGAUGUUGGGUUAAGUCCCGCAACGAGCGCAACCCUUGUCCUUAGUUACCAGCGGGUUAAGCCGGGAACUCUAAGGAUACUGCCAGUGACAAACUGGAGGAAGGCGGGGACGACGUCAAGUCAUCAUGCCCCUUACAUCCUGGGCUACACACGUACUACAAUGCUACGGACAAAGGGCAGCAAGUUCGCGAGGACAAGCAAAUCCCAUAAACCGUGGCUCAGUUCAGAUCGUAGGCUGCAACUCGCCUACGUGAAGGCGGAAUCGCUAGUAAUCG
rnacentral:rRNA from 1 species